UCUCCUCGUAGGGGUGCCAGCUGACAUCACGCACACAGGCCUUGUGAUUGGUCAGUUUCUUGAUGAUCUGCCCACUCAGGAGGUCAUACACUGGGGCAAAGCAGCAAGAAUGAGAUUUCCCCCUCUCCAGCCCACUACAAUGGGCUGGCACUCAGCUAACGAGGCGAAAGGGGACAGGUCGGCAGGGCUGGGGACGCUGCUCCCGGUCUGGGGGUGAGCACUUCUGCGGUCACCCCGCAGUACCGAAGCGCGUGGAAACAGGGAAGAGAUGGGAGCUCAGGGAUGCCUCUGUUGCUGGAGUUAACAUUGGAAGAUCAAACUGAAAGGGCCGCGGGCUGAAAGAUUUCACAGCCGCUCAGGGAACGACGAGCCAAACACCUGCGGGAGCUGCGUCACCCCUGCCCUCGAUGGCGCUUUUUAAUCAAACAGCACAACCGGCCACUCCCGAAGAAAGGGCAGCGGGGGUGGGGCCACUUGGCUUGAAAGUGGGAUUUCUGGCGAGCCCAAACUCCCGGAAGCUGGGCCCCAGCUGGUUUACUGCGGCCUCGGCCGCCAACGGGAGGCGUAGCUUAGCAGGAAACAAAAAGAUGCAGCUGAACUUUAGCCGGAAUUAUGGAGAGCAGAUUCGAGUCUGAGGUGAAACUCACAAGCCUGGUUUGCCGACCACGACGUGGCGAACCGACACCAUGGGACUCCCCCUCUUCUGUAUCUCAGCUGGGGUUGGGUUUCCCCGGGGAACUCCAAAGAGGUGGAACGAAUUGCUAGGAUCAGCCAGCGCCUGGCACGGCCUCUGAACAGGGGACAGAGCAUUUGGCAGGAAUCUUACAGGGGAGCCAGGUUUUCAGGCUAAAUGUCCUGCUCUUGAAAGGAUCGUCCAGUCAACAGAGUGAAAGCGGGUGACGAAGUUUUUACUGCUUUGUAACUUCAGUGCCACCGUAGAAGGUGCUGGGAAGAAGGCAAACUAGCCCAAUCUGAGCUUGGCUUGAGGAGAGGAAUUCAGUCUCCACUCAUAUGCAGAUCGAAGAUCAACUGCAUUACGGGACGGCAGCAGCCACUGAACUCUGAACCCUUCCAGCCACGGCUGGAGAAGGAGCAGGAUGGUUUGGGAGCUGCCAAGUCGAACGCUGUGACCUUCGCACCGGCCGCUGGAAGGCAUCAGUGCCAAAAUGAGAACAUGGGGUCUGAAAGCUGUAGUGGACAAGAGGUGAAAUCGCCAGAAAGAGCCGCUGACGUUCGCAGCUAGAGAGAAAAGACGCCCAGCGGUGACGAUAUCUGAGCACCUACUUAGUGUCUAAACCAACUACCGGACGGGUGAACGCGUCCCCGGCAUCUCCUUAUGUCUGGCACACGCCACAGAUUUUUUUCUGUGCUUUCUUUGAAGCUAAAAAAUGCAGAAUCUGUGACGCCAAAACUUUUUGCUAAUUUGAGCAGGUUUCACCAGAUUGUUUGGGUUGGGAGGGG